rnacentral:tRNA from 1 species
AGUCUUAUAUUCAAAAAAUGAUUUUAAAUUGCAAAUUUAAAGGUAAAGAAUACUUUUAAGGCUU